rnacentral:misc_RNA from 1 species
GAUGAAGAACGUAGCGAAAUGCGAUAAGUAGUGUGAAUUGCAGAAUUCAGUGAAUCAUCGAAUCUUUGAACGCACAUUGCGCCCCUUGGUAUCCCGAGGGGCAUGCCUGUUCGAGCGUCAUUUCACCACUCAAGCCUGGCUUGGUGUUGGGCGACGUCCUCUUUGGGGACGCGCCUCGAAACGCUCGGCGGCGUGGCACCGGCUUUAAGCUUAGCAGAAUCUUUCGCUUUGGAAGUCGGGGCCCCGUCUGCCGGAAGACCUGCUCGCAAGGUUGACCUCGGAUCAGGCAGGGAUACCCGCUGAACUUAAGCAUAUCAAUAAGCGGAGGA